GGUUAAGCGACUAAGCGUACACGGUGGAUGCCCUGGCAGUCAGAGGCGAUGAAGGACGUGCUAAUCUGCGAUAAGCGUCGGUAAGGUGAUAUGAACCGUUAUAACCGGCGAUUUCCGAAUGGGGAAACCCAGUGUGUUUCGACACACUAUCAUUAACUGAAUCCAUAGGUUAAUGAGGCGAACCGGGGGAACUGAAACAUCUAAGUACCCCGAGGAAAAGAAAUCAACCGAGAUUCCCCCAGUAGCGGCGAGCGAACGGGGAGGAGCCCAGAGCCUGAAUCAGUGUGUGUGUUAGUGGAAGCGUCUGGAAAGGCGCGCGAUACAGGGUGACAGCCCCGUACACAAAAAUGCACAUGCUGUGAGCUCGAUGAGUAGGGCGGGACACGUGGUAUCCUGUCUGAAUAUGGGGGGACCAUCCUCCAAGGCUAAAUACUCCUGACUGACCGAUAGUGAACCAGUACCGUGAGGGAAAGGCGAAAAGAACCCCGGCGAGGGGAGUGAAAAAGAACCUGAAACCGUGUACGUACAAGCAGUGGGAGCACAGAGCAAUCUGUGUGACUGCGUACCUUUUGUAUAAUGGGUCAGCGACUUAUAUUCUGUAGCAAGGUUAACCGAAUAGGGGAGCCGAAGGGAAACCGAGUCUUAACUGGGCGUUAAGUUGCAGGGUAUAGACCCGAAACCCGGUGAUCUAGCCAUGGGCAGGUUGAAGGUUGGGUAACACUAACUGGAGGACCGAACCGACUAAUGUUGAAAAAUUAGCGGAUGACUUGUGGCUGGGGGUGAAAGGCCAAUCAAACCGGGAGAUAGCUGGUUCUCCCCGAAAGCUAUUUAGGUAGCGCCUCGUGAAUUCAUCUCCGGGGGUAGAGCACUGUUUCGGCAAGGGGGUCAUCCCGACUUACCAACCCGAUGCAAACUGCGAAUACCGGAGAAUGUUAUCACGGGAGACACACGGCGGGUGCUAACGUCCGUCGUGAAGAGGGAAACAACCCAGACCGCCAGCUAAGGUCCCAAAGUCAUGGUUAAGUGGGAAACGAUGUGGGAAGGCCCAGACAGCCAGGAUGUUGGCUUAGAAGCAGCCAUCAUUUAAAGAAAGCGUAAUAGCUCACUGGUCGAGUCGGCCUGCGCGGAAGAUGUAACGGGGCUAAACCAUGCACCGAAGCUGCGGCAGCGACGCUGAUGCGUUGUUGGGUAGGGGAGCGUUCUGUAAGCCUGUGAAGGUGUGCUGUGAGGCAUGCUGGAGGUAUCAGAAGUGCGAAUGCUGACAUAAGUAACGAUAAAGCGGGUGAAAAGCCCGCUCGCCGGAAGACCAAGGGUUCCUGUCCAACGUUAAUCGGGGCAGGGUGAGUCGACCCCUAAGGCGAGGCCGAAAGGCGUAGUCGAUGGGAAACAGGUUAAUAUUCCUGUACUUGGUGUUACUGCGAAGGGGGGACGGAGAAGGCUAUGUUGGCCGGGCGACGGUUGUCCCGGUUUAAGCGUGUAGGCUGGUUUUCCAGGCAAAUCCGGAAAACUAAGGCUGAGGCGUGAUGACGAGGCACUACGGUGCUGAAGCAACAAAUGCCCUGCUUCCAGGAAAAGCCUCUAAGCAUCAGGUAACAUCAAAUCGUACCCCAAACCGACACAGGUGGUCAGGUAGAGAAUACCAAGGCGCUUGAGAGAACUCGGGUGAAGGAACUAGGCAAAAUGGUGCCGUAACUUCGGGAGAAGGCACGCUGAUAUGUAGGUGAAGUCCCUCGCGGAUGGAGCUGAAAUCAGUCGAAGAUACCAGCUGGCUGCAACUGUUUAUUAAAAACACAGCACUGUGCAAACACGAAAGUGGACGUAUACGGUGUGACGCCUGCCCGGUGCCGGAAGGUUAAUUGAUGGGGUCAGCGCAAGCGAAGCUCUUGAUCGAAGCCCCGGUAAACGGCGGCCGUAACUAUAACGGUCCUAAGGUAGCGAAAUUCCUUGUCGGGUAAGUUCCGACCUGCACGAAUGGCGUAAUGAUGGCCAGGCUGUCUCCACCCGAGACUCAGUGAAAUUGAACUCGCUGUGAAGAUGCAGUGUACCCGCGGCAAGACGGAAAGACCCCGUGAACCUUUACUAUAGCUUGACACUGAACAUUGAGCCUUGAUGUGUAGGAUAGGUGGGAGGCUUUGAAGUGUGGACGCCAGUCUGCAUGGAGCCGACCUUGAAAUACCACCCUUUAAUGUUUGAUGUUCUAACGUUGACCCGUAAUCCGGGUUGCGGACAGUGUCUGGUGGGUAGUUUGACUGGGGCGGUCUCCUCCUAAAGAGUAACGGAGGAGCACGAAGGUUGGCUAAUCCUGGUCGGACAUCAGGAGGUUAGUGCAAUGGCAUAAGCCAGCUUGACUGCGAGCGUGACGGCGCGAGCAGGUGCGAAAGCAGGUCAUAGUGAUCCGGUGGUUCUGAAUGGAAGGGCCAUCGCUCAACGGAUAAAAGGUACUCCGGGGAUAACAGGCUGAUACCGCCCAAGAGUUCAUAUCGACGGCGGUGUUUGGCACCUCGAUGUCGGCUCAUCACAUCCUGGGGCUGAAGUAGGUCCCAAGGGUAUGGCUGUUCGCCAUUUAAAGUGGUACGCGAGCUGGGUUUAGAACGUCGUGAGACAGUUCGGUCCCUAUCUGCCGUGGGCGCUGGAGAACUGAGGGGGGCUGCUCCUAGUACGAGAGGACCGGAGUGGACGCAUCACUGGUGUUCGGGUUGUCAUGCCAAUGGCACUGCCCGGUAGCUAAAUGCGGAAGAGAUAAGUGCUGAAAGCAUCUAAGCACGAAACUUGCCCCGAGAUGAGUUCUCCCUGACUCCUUGAGAGUCCUGAAGGAACGUUGAAG
rnacentral:rRNA from 1 species